GACGAACGCUGGCGGCGUGCUUAACACAUGCAAGUCGAACGGAAAGGCCCUGCUUUUGUGGGGUGCUCGAGUGGCGAACGGGUGAGUAACACGUGAGUAACCUGCCCUUGACUUUGGGAUAACUUCAGGAAACUGGGGCUAAUACCGGGUAGGAGCUCCUGCUGCAUGGUGGGGGUUGGAAAGUUUCGGCGGUUGGGGAUGGACUCGCGGCUUAUCAGCUUGUUGGUGGGGUAGUGGCUUACCAAGGCUUUGACGGGUAGCCGGCCUGAGAGGGUGACCGGCCACAUUGGGACUGAGAUACGGCCCAGACUCCUACGGGAGGCAGCAGUGGCGAAUAUUGCACAAUGGGCGGAAGCCUGAUGCAGCAACGCCGCGUGCGGGAUGACGGCCUUCGGGUUGUAAACCGCUUUCGCCUGUGACGAAGCGUGAGUGACGGUAAUGGGUAAAGAAGCACCGGCUAACUACGUG
rnacentral:rRNA from 1 species